rnacentral:rRNA from 1 species
GAUGAACGCUGGCGGCGUGCCUAAUACAUGCGAGUCGAGCGAACAGACGAGGAGCUUGCUCCUCUGACGUUAGCGGCGGACGGGUGAGUAACACGUGGAUAACCUACCUAUAAGACUGGGAUAACUUCGGGAAACCGGAGCUAAUACCGGAUAAUAUAUUGAACCGCAUGGUUCAAUAGUGAAAGACGGUUUUGCUGUCACUUAUAGAUGGAUCCGCGCCGCAUUAGCUAGUUGGUAAGGUAACGGCUUACCAAGGCAACGAUGCGUAGCCGACCUGAGAGGGUGACAGACCACGGUGGAAGAGCGACCGAGCCCGGACCCGGACGGAGAGAGACGGUAGGGAAGCUUCCAGAAUGGAGAAAGACCGAACAUCGCAGCCCGGGGGGAAGAAUAAGGGACUUGGGAUCUAAAAACUCUUUAAGAGGGAAGAAAAAAAAGCAAAAGUAAAAGGGAAGGUCAGGACGGUACCAAAUAAAAAAGCCCCGGCAAACUUCGUG